rnacentral:rRNA from 1 species
GUGCCAGCAGCCGCGGUAAUACGAAGGUCCCGAGCGUUGUUCGGAAUCACUGGGCGUAAAGGGAGCGUAGGCGGCGUGGUAAGUCAGAUGUGAAAUCCCGGGGCUCAACCCCGGAACUGCAUCCGAUACUGCCGUGCUAGAGGAUUGGAGAGGUAGCUGGAAUUCUUGGUGUAGCAGUGAAAUGCGUGGAUAUCAAGAGGAACACUCGUGGCGAAAGCGAGCUACUGGACAACUCCUGACGCUGAGGCUCGAAGGCCAGGGUAGCGAAAGGGAUUAGAUACCCCGGUAGUCC